rnacentral:rRNA from 1 species
CAAUAGCGUAUAUUGAAGUUGUUGCGGUUAAAAAGCUCGUCGUUGGAUUUCUGUUGAGGUCGAACAGUGCCGCGCUAUGGGUGCGCAACUGGCUCGGCUUCGGCAUCUUCUUGGAGAGCGCAUCUGCACUUAACUGUGUGGAUCGUACUUCAAGUCAGUUACUUUGAGGAAUUGUGAGUGUUUCAAGCAGGCUUACGCCGUUGAAUCCGUUAGCAUGGAAUAAUAGGAUAGGACCUCGGUUCUAUUUUGUUGGUUUUGAGAGCUGGGGCAGCGAUUGAUAGGGACGGAUGGGGGCGUCCGAACUUUACUGUCAGAGGUGAAAUUCUUAGAUCGGUCAAAGGCGAACUACUGCGAACGCAUUCGCCAAGAAUGUUUUCUUUAA